UGUAGUCAUAUGCUUGUCUCAAAGAUUAAGCCAUGCAUGUCUAAGUAUAAGCAAUCUAUACUGUGAAACUGCGAAUGGCUCAUUAAAUCAGUUAUCGUUUAUUUGAUAGUACCUUACUACUUGGAUAACCGUGGUAAUUCUAGAGCUAAUACAUGCUAAAAACCCCGACUUUUGGAGGGGUGUAUUUAUUAGAUAAAAAACCAAUGCCCUUCGGGGCUCCUUGGUGAUUCAUAAUAACUUAACGAAUCGCAUAGCCUUGUGCUGGCGAUGGUUCAUUCAAAUUUCUGCCCUAUCAACUUUCGAUGGUUAGGUCUUGGCUAACCAUGGUUUCAACGGGUAACGGGGAAUUAGGGUUCUAUUCCGGAGAGUGAGCCUGAGAAACGGCUAACACAUCCAAGGAAGGCAGCAGGCGCGCAAAUUACCCAAUCCCGACACGGGGAGGUAGUGACAAUAAAUACUGAUCCAGGGCUCUUUUGGGUCUUGGAAUUGGAAUGAGUACAAUUUAAAUCCCUUAACGAGGAACAAUUGGAGGGCAAGUCUGGUAAUCG
rnacentral:rRNA from 1 species